GAAGCUGAGGGCGAGGAGCCUUAGCCGCGGCGCACGCCGGGAAAGGGGGCGGGGCGGGAACGGCCUCGCGAGGCCGGGAGUGGGGGUGGUGACGUCAGCGCGGCCGCGGCUGAGUGUAGUGGCAGGGCUGGCCGCUGGCAGGGAGGGGCUCAGACGCGCGGGGCCUUCUCCGGGGGUCGGAAGGUUGCGGGUGCCUUGGGAGCUGAGGGCCCUUGCGCUAGACUGCAACCCCUGCGAAGGCUCUGGCGCCUCCUGCAGGCUUCCCGACCACAAGCCGCGUGGGAGGGGGUACUGCAGGGUCGAGUACGCCGCUGGAGGCCGGUUUUGGGGGCGAAUCAGAAGCUAGAAAGGCUGAUACAGAGUCUGCUUCGAAUAGUUUAGAAGGCAACAAGGACAGAUCGAGUGCCAUGUUCUGGAACUGUCGGGAAGUGAACGCACCCAGUAAGAUGAUGCCGUAUUUUGGUCCAUGUUAAUCUACAAAAAUAACCACAGAAACAGCCGUAAUCUACUGAAUGUUGCCGGCCAAAAGAAAUCUUUUCAGGGUAUCUUUCAAGUAUUGUACUUCCUAUACCUUUUCCAGAUUUCACCGUUAAGACCAAACCUUCCUCCCAAGACUUGCCUUUCUGCAUUAUUUUUGGAAUGCAGUCUUUUUUUUUUUUUUUUUUUUUCGUUUUUAAGAGGGUCUUCAAAUGCUCAUCCUGUUUCACAUUCUUACUGUUUCCAAUUCCUAGCCUGGCUCCCUGCCCUAUUAUAGUGGGGCUCUCCUGGCUUCCAGCCCAACAGCAUGGUUGCCUUAAAGGAUGGACUUUAGGCCAGGUGUGGUGGCACUUUGGGGGGCCGAGGCGGGUGGAUCACAAGGUCGGGAGUUCGAAACCAGCCUGGCCAAAAUGGUGAAACCCUGUCUCUAAUAAAAAUACAAAAAUUUGCUGGGCACAGUGGUGGGCACCUGUAAUCCCAGCUCCUUGGGAGGCUGAGGCAGGAGAAUUGCUUGAACCCAGGAGGCGGAGGUUGUAGUAAGCCGAGAUCAUACCACUGCACUGGGCAACAGAGCAAGACUCCGUCUCAAAAAAAAAAAGAAGAGAUGGACUUUAAAAAGUGACCCAGAAAGCCGGCUCCAGAUCUGGAUGGGUGGAUGGAGAGAAAGCUGCAGUCAGGAGUGAAUCAGAUGGCCUUUAAAAGAGCAUCAGACUUAAUUUUUUAUAUUUCCUUUUAUUUGUAGUCAUUUUGCUUGUCACAUAUUCAUUGCAAAAAAACUAAAAAAUACAAAUAAUAAAAACGUAGGAUCCAGAGAUA